rnacentral:lncRNA from 1 species
GUACUGUAUCGUCUCCUAUCACGGGUUCAGUACAAGGAGAGGGAUUAGAAGGACUCUAGAGAUGAACGAUUUAAAGUAUUUAAGAAGAUGCGUAUCACUUAGGGCGGGCAGGACUCACUCCCUCCCUCCAUCCUAGUGCCCUUGAGCCUAGCAUCGCACCCAGGAAUCUAUUCCAGAAAAAGCCCAACCUACAACUGCAUGAGGCUUUGGGGGAACAACAAGACACAGCCAUAACAGUGCUCGAUGCAGAAGGCCUCGUCUGCAGCGUGGUCAGCACUUGGGCCAUCCCCCCGCUCGGAGGCCCUGCUCUUCAGCAGGGUAAUGUUCUUGGUCUGGGCUCCCUCCAAGGAGAUCACCCGGAAGCGGAAAUGUAAGGCUCAUGCUGAAAACACCGGUGUGCUUUUCUCUUUCUUCCUGAAAAAUCUGAGUCCAGCCAUCCAUGUGACCUCCGAGGUGGGAAUAAAUGGCUUCUGAUGAAAACCUGGACAUCACAGACCCAACCCUGCGAUCUGCAGCCUUCUUCCCCAACACCACCACCUUGCAGCCGAUCUGGGCCUUUCAAAACCACGCAGACAACCUGCAGGAUCCAUUCUCACCUACACUGUUCUUCCUUCACUCACCCCGCAAAGGCUGGGCGCUGUCCUGCUCCGAAGGUGAAGAGACAGCCCGACCUGGGAGCUCACCCCUGGGGGGCAGGAACAGCACAGUGCAAGGAUAAGCGCUGGAAGAGAGGGGGUUGUGUUUCACGUGCGAGAGGAGCACAGAGGAGCUGCACUACUGGGUCUCGGUUAAAAGAUCGAGAAAGAAAAAGACCAGAGUUGGUCAACAGGAAAUAGGCAAAUAAUUAAAUAGAGAAUCAAAGCGCCUUCUAAGCAGAACUAGUUGGCUCUGUGAAAUGAACACGGGUCUGCUUGUGCUGCGGAGACCGG